AUUGAACGCUGGCGGCAUGCUUUACACAUGCAAGUCGAACGGCAGCAUGGGUGCUUGCACCUGAUGGCGAGUGGCGAACGGGUGAGUAAUGUAUCGGAACAUGUCCGGAAGUGGGGGAUAACGUAGCGAAAGUUACGCUAAUACCGCAUAUGCCCUGAGGGGGAAAGGUGGGGAUCGCAAGACCUAUCGCUUUCGGAGUGGCCGAUAUCAGAUUAGCUUGUUGGUGAGGUAAAGGCUCACCAAGGCGACGAUCUGUAGCUGGUCUGAGAGGACGACCAGCCACACUGGGACUGAGACACGGCCCAGACUCCUACGGGAGGCAGCAGUGGGGAAUUUUGGACAAUGGGGGCAACCCUGAUCCAGCCAUGCCGCGUGAGUGAAGAAGGCCUUCGGGUUGUAAAGCUCUUUCAGAUGGAAAGAAAUCGCUAUUCCUAAUACGAGUGGUGGAUGACGGUACCGUCAGAAGAAGCACCGGCUAACUACGUGCCAGCAGCCGCCGUAA
rnacentral:rRNA from 1 species